CCUACGGGAGGCAGCAGUGAGGAAUAUUGGUCAAUGGCCGAGAGGCUGAACCAGCCAAGUCGCGUGAGGGAAGACGGCCCUACGGGUUGUAAACCUCUUUUGUCGGGGAGUAAAGCGCGUCACGUGUGGCGCAUUGCGAGUACCCGAAGAAAAAGGAUCGGCUAACUCCGUGCCAGCAGCCGCGGUAAUACGGAGGUUGCGAGCGUUAUCCGGAUUUAUUGGGUUAAAGGGGUGCGCAGGCGGAGGUGCAAGUCAGCGGUAAAAUUGCGGGGCUCAACCCGGUCCUGCCGUUGAAACUGCAUCGCUUGAGUGCGCGAGAAGUAGGCGGAAUGCGUGGUGUAGCGGUGAAAUGCUUAGAUAUGACGCAGAACCCCGAUUGCGAAGGCAGCAUACCGGCGCGCAACUGACGCUGAUGCACGAAAGCGUGGGUAUCGAACAGGAUUAGAUACCCGAGUAGUC
rnacentral:rRNA from 1 species